GUACCAAAGGCCUCCGAGGAAUCCCAGGCUUCUCAGGAGCUGAUGGAGGACCAGGGCCCAAGGGCUUGCCAGGAGACCCAGGUCGUGAAGGGUUCCCAGGACCCCCAGGGUUCAUAGGACCCCGAGGAUCCAAAGGUGCAGUGGGCCUCCCUGGCCCAGAUGGAUCCCCAGGUCCCAUCGGCCUGCCAGGGCCAGACGGGCCCCCUGGGGAAAGGGGCCUUCCUGGAGAAGUCCUGGGAGCCCAGCCCGGGCCACGGGGAGAUGCUGGUGUGCCUGGACAGCCUGGGCUUAAAGGCCUUCCUGGAGACAGAGGCUCCCCUGGAUUCAGAGAAUCUGUACAGUUGGUAUGAAGAAAAGAUGGGCCUGGCCAUGCUUAGUCAGAGGUGAAGAAGGAAAAUAGGAAUAAUCUGGAAUGCAAUUUUAUUUGUGUAAAAAUUAAUAUAUUUUUUAAAAUGUC
rnacentral:sRNA from 1 species